UUUCAGUCUUCUUCAUUGUAUCCACAGGGAAACUGAGGCCCAGAGAAGCCAAAGGACUUCCUCAAGGUCACAUGUUUCUAAAUUCUGGUACAGGGCUGGGCCCACAGCAGGCAGGCAUCAGUGAGCUCUGAUUACACGGAAGUGAACCAAACCCACAUCAGAGGCCUGGGGGCUGCCAAGGCUGAGGAAGGGCCACAGACGGCAAGUGAACGGCUCCUGGGUGCCAGAGGCCAUGCUGAGCACUUUCCGUGAGCUAUCUCAUUUCAUCCAAAGACCACUCCAGGCACAACUGUGCCGCUGGACAGAUACAGAGGCCCCUUCACCCCACCAGCUGGGGCACCCUCCUCUAGAAUCCAGAGG
rnacentral:lncRNA from 1 species